rnacentral:rRNA from 1 species
AGUCACUGACAUUAGAUACCCGGGUAGUCCAGGGUGUAAACGCUGCAGACUUGGUGUUGGAAGUCCUUUGGGGGCAUUCAGUGCCGGAGAGAAGUUGUUAAGUCUGCUACUUGGGGAGUACGUCCGCAAGGCUGAAACUUAAAGGAAUUGGCGGGGAGCACCACAAGAGGUGGAGGCUGCGGUUCAAUUGGACUCAACGCCGGAAACUCAUCGGGAGCGACAGCAGUAUGAUUGCCAGGUUGAUGACCUUGCUUGACAAGCUG